UCGAGCGAAGCGCUGUUUUCAGAAUCUUCGGAGGAAGAGGACAGUGACUGAGCGGCGGACGGGUGAGUAACGCGUGGGCAACCUGCCUCAUACAGGGGGAUAACAGUUAGAAAUGACUGCUAAUACCGCAUAAGCGCACAGGACCGCAUGGUGUAGUGUGAAAAACUCCGGUGGUAUGAGAUGGACCCGCGUCUGAUUAGGUAGUUGGUGGGGUAAAGGCCUACCAAGCCGACGAUCAGUAGCCGACCUGAGAGGGUGACCGGCCACAUUGGGACUGAGACACGGCCCAAACUCCUACGGGAGGCAGCAGUGGGGAAUAUUGCACAAUGGGGGAAACCCUGAUGCAGCGACGCCGCGUGAAGGAAGAAGUAUUUCGGUAUGUAAACUUCUAUCAGCAGGGAAGAAGAUGACGGUACCUGAGUAAGAAGCACCGGCUAAAUACGUGCCAGCAGCCGCGGUAAUACGUAUGGUGCAAGCGUUAUCCGGAUUUACUGGGUGUAAAGGGAGCGUAGACGGAUAGGCAAGUCUGGAGUGAAAACCCAGGGCUCAACCCUGGGACUGCUUUGGAAACUGCAGAUCUGGAGUGCCGGAGAGGUAAGCGGAAUUCCU
rnacentral:rRNA from 1 species